rnacentral:lncRNA from 1 species
AAAUAUUAGCUUUUAAUGGCCCUGUCCUUUACAAGAUGAUACAAAAGUCAUGUGAAUUUCUUUUUAUUCUACCAAAAGUUUGUUUUAACAUUAUUACAGAGUAAUAAUCUUAGUUGUGCCUAGUAAUUAGAACUGAAAAUUUACCUCACAGAAUAAAAUAGGGUGACUCUAUGCCUAGUCCCAUGAUUUUUAACUGUUUUAAAAAUAAAACUCUUUAAUUUGUUUAAUAUUUCAGAAUACUACUAGAUAGAUAUCCUCAAGAAUUAGAAAUCAGAAAUUUCUGCAUAUUUUGUGAUCUUAUUCUUUCUUCUACCAAUGAAUUCUUCAUUUAGGUUAAAAAGUACAUAUUUGCCUAUUUUUCAUUUUAGGCCUUCUCAUUUUGCCAGCAGCCUCUAUCAUGUCUCGUAUCUUUUUCUUUCUAAAAUUAUGCUAUUCUGAGCUUUGUGCCUGUGUGCUAAGUAUAAGAGACAAAAUUCUAAUGUUCUACACUGUUUCUUGGGGAGUUCCCAAAUGCUCUAUUUGUUUAUUUUUUUUACUGUAGUAAGAAUAUGUAACAAGAGAUCUACCCUCUUACCUGGUUUUUAAGUAUAUUAAAAUAUUCUUAACGUGCUAAUGGUUAGAACUAGGGUGCUGAAAGGAAGGCGAGAGGGAGGCAAAGAAAAAUAAACUGACCUUAGGAUGGUGUGAAGUGGUUUGUGGAACCAGGAAGAAGUACAUUAUGUCUUUUCAUUUCCUUUUGUUGUAAGAUCUUCAACUGGGAGUUAAGAAACUCAAAUUUUAGUUCCAGUUUUGCCACUAUUCAUGAAUGUAUUCUCCAAUCUCCUUAAAUGGGGGCUAGCCAUGAGAAUAGAAUUAUUAUACCUGAGAGGGUCUCCAAAUCUCGGUAGCCAUAAUGCAUGGAUAGUUGAAAAACUGAUACUCUUUGAAAAGGUGGGCGAUAGCCCUAGUCAAUAUUAAAUAACUCACUUUAUGUAUACACUAAAACUCUCAUGGCAUUGAUAUUGAUGAAGUGUGAGAUUACAUAAAAUACUUUUGAAUAUUCACUUGGUGAAUUUUCAGUUUCUGUGGAAGUCUUAUGUUCAAGGGGGGUAAACGUCAAUUAGUCUCCUCCCUGCCAUGCACAACUAUCAAUAACCUUGGCUAAACUGUAAAAGAAAACUGAAAAAGAACAUGCCACAGAACCACAAAAUAGUCUAGAACUCUGUCUCUGAAAGUCCAACUCUAGUGUGAUAGGGAUUAAAAGCCAGUGAAUAAAUAUGGGGCCUUUUCAUAGAUAUCAACUUUACUCCAAGACUUUAAAAAAUGCAUAGAUGUUAUAUUUAUACUAAAUAUAGGAAUACUGCGAUUUAAAAUGCAAUGUUUAUAUUAAAUUUAAGAUAGAACUUGAAACUAAAGAAAAUUAUAGCUUAGGACAAGACUAUAUUAAGGCAAUUGUUCACUCUCUAUACUAUUAACUAUACUUGUGUGAAAAAGUUUGAGGCAAAGUGACCUUGAUGGUAUGUUAAAACCUAUUUUAGGGGCCGGGGUUAUAGCUCAGCGGUGGAGUGCUCGCCUCACACAUGGAAGGCCCUGGGUUCGAUCCUCUGCACCACAUAUAAAUAAAUAAAAUAAAGUUAUUGUAUCCAAUUACAACUACAAAAAAUAAAUAUUAAAAAAACAUUUUCUAGAUGGAGAUGGAUGGUGGUGAUGAUUAUACAGCAUUAUGAAUAUACGUAUUCAAUAUCACUGAAUUGUACCUUUAAAAAUGGUUAAGAUGAUAGAUUUUGUUAUGAGUAUUUUACCACAGUUUUAAAAGUAGGGGAGAAACCUUCUACUAAAAUCGAAUGUUAUCAACAAAUGAAGAUUUAUCCCGAGAAAUUUUUAAUUUCAAUAUACAUAUAUGUUGACCACUAUAUCCUGUUAUUCAGCUCAUGAGUCAUCUCUUAUUGUGCUCUUGAAAAGAAUGCUUGAUUCCAAGGUUUUUAAACAAAUUAAAGAAGGUCCCUGUGAAGUAGAACCUUUACUUACCAGUUCUCACUUCUGUGGCUGACAGUUAGCCUGCAUUUGUCAGUAUACUACCUGUGUUUUUGAAAAAGAACACCCAUAAAGAAAGAAGCCUGUUAGAAACAGUUCUAAAACAGACUUUUCAUGAAGACCCUACCAGAAAAUUUCUAGGAUAUCCUAAACAAAUUAGACAAGCAUUUACCUAUGAAACUGUUCUUUUACAGGAGAGAAAACUUGGUUGGAAGGCUGAAAUUAUGGUAUAUCCUUAUAUCCUAUAACAAUACUUAUUCAGCGAUUAAAGUAUAUAACUGAAUAUUUACAUAUUUUUAUAAAAUUUUAAUUUUUUUAGAUGUUGAUGAACCUUUAUUUUUACUCAUUUAUUUAUAUGUGUUGCUGAGAAUCAAACCAGUGCCUCUCACAUGCUAGGCAAACUGAGCCACAACCCCAGCCCAUAACUGAAUAUUUACUGAUAGGAAAUACGCACACACACACACACACACACGCACACACACAUAACAAAC